UGUAGACCAGCCUUUCUCUUUAUUGUGUGUUUCAGUUCCACUCAUUUGUCUCUCACUCCAACGAAAUUCAGCCCUCUUCCCAUUUUGAAGCUCUUUCAGAAGUCUUUCCUCGAUAUCAAAGCGGAGCGAUCAUUAGCUCUUGAUAAUAUCUAUGAUGCGUUGAUUGCGCUGAGGAUUCGAUAACGUCCCCUCACUUAUAAAAACCCGAACUGUUGAACAUGUCCGGUCUCUCGCCUUCUCCAAUCCGUGUGGAUGACACAUAUUUAUUUUAGGGUAAAAAAAUCAUAAAGCAUGUUUGCAAGAACAGUCUUUGGAUGGAAAAUACUUUAAUAUUUCAUUUCAGUGGAAGUAGAGCAACUACGAAAGGGGCUAAAGCUCAUUGACUGUAACUUUUCUAUAUCGCCUUCAAUUUUUUUGGCAGGCCAGAAAAUAGCAGAAUUAGCAGUAAGUACUCUAUUCCAGAAUACGUGUCAUGUGUUGCCUGUUUGUAAAUCUGCUCACGCAGUUUAUGUAAAACUUCAGCCUAUAACGAUUUUGACGCUGGUCAAUUUUUCCAUCAAAGUCUUGAUGAUUGAUAACAAGUGAGUGUAUAAAAAUUAUAAUUCACUCCCAAAACCCAGUUGGAAAAGCUUGGCUUCUUCAAUCGUUUGUGUGGACUGGUGUGUAGUAUUUAAUAUGGGUCCUUCUUUUAUUUAUAGAUAAUUAUAGAUAACUCUACUUAUGUCUCUAUGAAUUGAUAAUCUCACGAUAACUCUAACUAAGGAUCCUCACUUGCAUCUUCUUUAUAAGUACAUCACUGGCCCAAGGCAGUUCAUUCAUUUGUAUGUUGACCAUAACCACUCAGCAUAAACAUGAAUGCAAGACCCUUUUUCAUGAGGAGAAAACCUACCUGCAUACGAUGAUAUCAGAAUCCAGGUACGUUCCGCCGUACUUCCAUAAGAUCGCGAGCCGGAGGAUAUCACUGGCGUGUGAUUCCGGAAAGGAACUUCCUGCUAUUUUCUCAUAAAAUCGAAAUGUUUCCAAGGGAGUGCGAUUGAAGAAGUUUCCCUCCAGGAUUCGAACAAAUUUCAGAUUCUCGUACGUUAGCAACACAGUGACGACAGGCGACGGUUCGUCGAGCGAGAUUGGAGACGAGAACAAAACCAAUACCUAAGCAUAGAAAUAGAAAUUACGAGAACAAAACCAAUACCUAAGCGUAGAAAUAGAAAUUAUGGGAUUGUUGAGAAAACGAACAUAGUAUGGAGUGGCUGAGUCAUUUCAAUAGUAAUGAUUGAAUCUCACUGAGUUUUACUCUCAUUAUAAUUAUUUAAAAAAUAGUCUUAAACCCUUGGAUUAAGCGCUAGUAUUAUUCUAAUUGUUGAAAUUACUGUAAUUUUUUUUUUAUUUAACAAGUUAAAUCAUCGUGCACAAAAUAUAUAAACUGUAAACUACUUAGUAAUAUUACAUUGUAAUACAUGAACAAUACCAAUAAAAUAAACUCUCUUUGUAGAAAGGAUAAAGGUUCUUUUUUUCGUUCAGGAAAAUGGAAGGUUUACAAGAAAGGGUCAAAAGCAGGGAUUAGGACCGAUCGAACAAACUUUUUGUCUGCAAUGAUCACAAAAUCUUCUAUCAUAUACUACCAUGGUAACCCCUACCACCGUGGUCCAGACCGUUCCAGCUGAUAAGGCUUAAUAGCGGGAACAAUACAGUUAAACUAAAGUCUUAUCUAUUGAUUAUAACAUCUUAUGUCCGUUAUAUUACAUUGUAAUACAGUUAAACUAAAGUCUUAUCUAUUGGUUAACAUUGAAUGGUCUGUUCGGAACUUGUUGUCAGCCCUCUGCUGACACACCGGAACCGCCCUCUGGCAUGAAAUUAUUGUAAUUGACAACCUUGUAGGAGUAGUUAUACAAAUUAAAAAUAAUAAAAAAAAAUGUAUAAUUAUU